UAUAAAAGUGGAUAGAGAAUCAGUUUUUCUCCCUCUCUCCUAAAACUAGAAUUUGCAGGCAUCCAAAAGGUUGGGAUGUUGGAAGAUUCAGGACAGAUAAAAGAAAGGAAUUUGCCACAUAAUUAAACAAUGGAACUCACCCCCCCCCCCAGCAGGCAGUGAUAGGCACCACCUUUUUUGUUGUUGUUUAGUCGUUUAGUCAUGUCCAGCUCUUCGUGACCCCAUGGACCAGAGCAUGCCAGGCACUUCUGUCUUCCACUGCCUCCUGCAGUUUGGUCAAACUCAUGCUGGUAGCUUUGAGAACACUAUCCAACCAACUCGUCCUCUGUCGUCCCCUUCUCCUUGUGCCCUCCAUCUUUCCCAACAUCAGGGUCUUUUCCAGGGAGUCUUCUCUUCUCAUGAGGUGGCCAAAGUAUUGGAGCCUCAGCUUCAGGAUCUGUCCUUCCUGUGAGCCCUCAGGGCUGAUUUCCUUAAGAAUGGAUAGGUUUGAUCUUCUUGCAGUCCAUGGGACUCUCAAGAGUCUCCUCCAGCACCAGAAUUCAAAAGCAUCAAUUCUUCAGCUAUCAGCCUUCUUUAUGGUCCAGCUCUCACUUCCAUACAUCACUACUGGGAAAACCAUCACUACCCCUUCAUGGAGCACUGCUGAACUAUGAACUAUGCCGAGCAGGGCACCCAAGAUGGACAGGUCAUGGUGGAGAGUUUUGACCAAACGUGAUCCACUUGGAGCAGGAACCGGCAAGCCACUCCAGUAUCCCUGCCAAGAAAACUCCAUGGAUAAAGACAACAGGCACCACCUUGGAUGGCUUUAAAAGAGGAUUAGACAGAUAGGAGGACUUCCGGGUCAGCGCCAUCGGUGAAUGGCGGAGUUCCUCCAACCGGAGGAACGGGCUCCGUGGAAAUUGGGUCUUCCCACCGCGGCGAAGGUGGGGACCCGCUAGAAAUCCCAGGCGGAGGAAGCCUGGGAACGUGGGGUUUGGCAGGGCACCAGGAGCACCCCCCCUACUCACCGGGAACCCCAUUUUGGGGCACUGGAGCGAAGUGGGGUGAGUGGCGCGGUGCUGCGAACUGAUUGCUAUUUUCACGGAGUGAAGCCGCACAGCCAUUGCCGGAGAGCGCUGACUUUUUCCUGUGGACAAUUGGAUUUAAAUCAAGUACCCGUGAGUAGAAACGGAAAAUUGGAUCAAGAAAUAUCUUAAUUUGGCAUCGAAGUGGGAAGGUUCAAAACAGGAAGUCCGCCUUCCGCUUUUUGUAUAUAGACUAAAGCAAAAACUUUGUAAGCUAAAGCCUGGAAAGCCAUUAAAAAAGUCUAAAUUUCCUUCAUUUAGAAUUACCGAAACCCCCUUGGAAGCAGGAGAAAAGGGGGGGGGACUUUGUUUAACCCCUGCAGGAGAGGGAGUGAAGAAGGAUAAGUUUCCACUGUCUCUAACCUGGGAACGGGGUGUCAGAGACAGAAAUAGUCGGAGAGGUUCAUUGACUGCGAAUGGAAUACUUUGACAGAUAGCUAAAGAAGAGAAAUAAACU